rnacentral:lncRNA from 1 species
CUCUCCCUUCCUCUGAGCCAGGAAGGGAGAGCGAGGUAGAGAGGUAGAGGUGGAGAGAGAAAAUCGGAGUAUUAAAAAAAAGAGCCUAUAGCUACAAGGCUGUGGACCAACCUACACUGGAUGGAUAUUCUCUCUAUCUCUCUCUCUCUCUCCCUCACUGUCCCUCCCUCCCUCUCUCUCUUGCUCUCUCUCUCUCCCUCCCUUCAUCACUCACUCAGUCACUCGCUCAGACCCUCCUCUCUUACUCUCUCUCCCCCUCUUCCCCAUCUCCCUCUCUCCCCUCUCUCUAUCUCCCUCUCUCACACACACCGAACACACACAUACACACACAGAGCUCUCUCUCAGCUCUUUCUCUGUCAUGCUCUCUUGCUCUCUCGCCCUCUCUCCACUCCCUCUGCCUCAGUCAGUCUCUCUCUCUUCCUCCCUUCCUCACUCAGUCUCUUUCUUUCUUUCUUUCUUUCUUCCUUUCUCUCUCUGUCUGUGUCUUCCGCCGCCGUGUAAGUUCAUCCACUGUGUCAGGGUGAUCACUGGGCUCGAGAAGAGUGAGAAGAGUGGGCUUUUUUGAUGCUUUUUUGUUUCGUGGAGCCGGACGCUUCAACCUCAUCCAGAUCCUCAGCAUCAGCAUCUUUAGCAUCCUCAGCAGCUUCAGCAGCCUCAGCAGCAGCAGCAGCGUCCGUCCACCUGUGUGCCGCGGGACUCUGCCUGGCCGCCCCUCUGUCUCUCUCCCCCUCUCUGUCUCUGUGUGGCUCUCUGAGGAGUGUGUGUGGAGCGCGUGCGGAGAGCCGCAGCCGUGGUGCUACCCCCGGCGUAUCGCACGCAGGCAGCAGACGCCUCCUCCUGGGCUUUCAGCUCCGCAGGAGGCACCUACCGGACCCCAGGGCUGGGAGGGAGGGCUCGUACAGUGGGAUGUUGUCUACAGUGUGGAGAUGCUCAGCAGUGUGGAGAUGGUCAACAGCUCAUGCUUUGGUGCUGCAGGGGGAAUCCAGCUCGGGCCAGGCUCUCCACACGCUGGAGAUUGAGAAGAGCCGUUGAUGGGGCCUUGCCUUGCCACAAAGCGUCUCCAGUCAAUUGUUUUGAAAAGGCCUUGCCAUUUGCCAAAAUGGCCGAGGACUAUGCUCACGAUUCCGUUAUUGCUUUCUCCGUAAAAAAAGACUCUCUUCGGUGACGGGUAUUCUUGGGUGGAUAAUACGGAUCACGUUGUUAUUGCUUAAGAAUACGCGUAGUCGAGGAGAGUCAUGUCGGCGGUGACGGCAGGGGACUAGAGAGAGAGCACAGCCCAGAGAGCCCACCUGCCUGCCCUGCUGCCUUUAGAGCAGGGGCUCACACACAUGCAUGCAUACACACACACACACACACACACACACCUACUCACUAACGCACACACAAUCACAUGAACGCACACACACGCAUUCACAUUCACAUUCACGCAAGCACUCAUUCAUGCAAGCAUGCACUGAGACUUACUCACACACUCAGGACCAUUUAUCAAGCAAGCAGACAGACAGACAGACAGACAGACAGAGCUGCAUCUCCUGUGUCUGUGUGUGUGAUGACUGUGCUGUUGAGUCUCUGUAGACGGGGCUGGCCACUCCUGUUCACCACGUUGCCUUCUUUUUUAACACACACUUCAUACUUACAUACACAUACACAUGCACGCACACACAUUUGAUGAAGAAAAAAAACAAAUGUUUAUAUUUUUGAUUUGUAUUCCUCACCUGCUUAUGCCUUCCAAUUGCACUGAUGUAUAAUCUCAGCUAUAGUGCCUUACUGACUUAUAUGUAUACUUCUACUAUGAAUGUGUAUCAAGUUUAGGGCUAUGUGUUUGUAUCUGUUUAUUGAUUUGUUUUGUUGUUUGCUCACCGAUUGAUGCCGAUCAGCUUGAGUGUUUUCGCAGGGAGCUUGGUAAAAAGAACAGUGUAUUGUGGGGUGGCUGGGGUAGGUAGAGCUGCAGAUGCAAAUGCGUGUAGUCCACAGUAUUUAUUAUCUGUCCUCAGGACCACACACUCUUCACCUCCCACUCCACCUUUUUUCAUGCAAAUUGAUUUUGAAAUGACAUUUAUCGCGUGGGGUUUUUCCGCACGGAAGCCUGCCCCUCCACAAGGGCUGAGGGUAUAAAAAAACAGACACACACACACACACAAACACAAAAUGUCCACCAAGCCAGCGAGACAGCUCAAUUUAUGCGCUGGGGAGGAAGACUGAUUCUAAAAGAACACACAGCAGAUAAACAAUUACCACAGGCUUAGAUUGACUAGCACGCCGCUCACCAUGUAGCCACACACAUAUCAUGAAUAUGUAUCAGUCACCGCAUAUGAUGGUGCAUUCUAAACUCUAACACCCAUGAAAAUCCAUUUAAGCAGCGUAAUAGGAUCUACUUGACUUAUGAAAGCAUACCCUCAGACAUGUCAAAUCUUAUAAAUAUACAUGAGAUCUCUUCUUUUGGCAGGAAUAUAUUUUCCUUCGUUUCCAAAAAAGCGUGAAAGGAAAUAUUAUAAAAAAAACACACACACACACACACACACACAUACCCACAAAAACAAAAUAUGUUGAUGUAUUAAAGAGGGAGGAUUUCUAAAUCUGCAAACAGUCCAAUUUACUCCUGAUUAUCAUUAAGCACAUUGAAAUGAUGCAUUAACAUUUCAGACAGACGAAAGAAAACAAUUCAGUGGCUCUCCUCUUGAUCACCCUGUAAUUAUGGUUCUUUUGGCUGUGCUUUAAUGAACUGUGAGUGGUGGCAGAGACAGUAACACCAUGUUAUGCACCUUUGCCACUAGGGGACUCACACAACUGAAAAAUAGUGUGUCAGUCUGCUUAUGGUUCCAAUUUUAAGGCAUAGUUUUUAUUUAAUUUGGAGAAAAAAUGCUUUGAUAUACAGAAUUAUAUUUUCUGAGCUUUUUGCUUUUAAUUGCAAUUUAUUGGAUUGGAAAAAUCCUCUCAAGUCACAUGCUUGCAUUCACAUGCUUUCAGAACAUGCAGAUGGCAAUGAAUAUAGCAUAAUAUUUUAAAUGGACAUAUAUUAAAAAUAAUAAUACAGUAAAAAAUAUAUAAAAAUAACAUCAAAAACCUUUUAAUAUUUUUGAACUAAACACACUAGUUUAACACUAAUAGGACGAAGAUAAAUAUAUUAGUCUUAAUUAUUUAAUAGAAACUAAUUCUAAAAUAUACCUCACAAUUUUAUAUCACUCUUAUCACCAUAUAUCAAAGUGGUGAACACAGCAGGACCAGGACUGCUACAAAGAGCCAGUUGGACAAAGAGCUCUGACUUGCCCCUCCCCUCCCCCCUUCAGACCUGUUAUAGCAGUGUAUUAAUGGUGAUCUGCAUUAUCAGUUGUAGCAUUAUUUAUUUAUUUGUAUAUAUAUUAUAGGCCACAUUUUACCAUUGACAGUAUUAUUCUGAUUACUUUGUAAUUAAGACAUUUGAAUUAAAUUGUUGUAUUUGUGUAGGAACAUUGUGCUUGCUGCUAAUUAAAUCUGUAUUUUCUAUUUUUGAUAAACAAUCUCCCUGAAAUCGUGAAAUUAUAUAUAUAUAUAUUUUUGUCCUCUUCUGCUGGUUUCACACACAUGACCUCAGUCUGUCAGCACAUUAUACAAUUAUUGUAAUUAUAUACAGCAAGGUACCUCAAAAUUACUGCACUUUAUAUUACUGGAUUUUUAUUCAUUCUGUACAAUUUGUCCUGCUCUUUAUGUCAUGAAUAAAGCUCUAUUUAAUUGAAAUUUAUGGAUUUGU